ensembl:lncRNA
AGACACCGAAGCACAGAGGGGUUUGGUAACUUGUUGAAGGAUACACAGCUAAUGUAGAGGACUUGAACCCAGCAGACUGACCCAGAUGCUUUCUUCUGCCAUAUCAGCCAUUUAGCCGGUCCUUUCCAGAAACCCUUCCCGUUAUCGGGGGACAUCCUUUACCCUUCCCACCUGCCCUCCGGAGGCUUCCCUCUGAACCCACUUCUGUAACCAGAGUUCCCCAUCCUUGGGACUUCACAGUCAAUCGUCCUGUGUGCUGCUCUCAUUAUCCCGGUGCUGCAGGUGGGGAAACUGAGGCAAGGAGCAGGGCGAUCACACCUGCCCCAGGCUGGAAAGCCGGAGAUCUGGGUCAAACUCAGGCUGUCUGAUCCAGAAAACCAUGCUCCCCUACUGGUCUUCAUACUUCGUCCUAGCAUGGCCGGCCUGCUAUCAACACCCGGGUUCCCCAGCGCCUCACUGUAAGGAACCUCAAGGGACUGCCAGUGGCCCCCUUUGACAGAUGGGAAGCUGAGGCUCCGAGGUGAUGAGGAGCCGGGAGCAGCAAGGGAGCUUUUCCCUGAAGUGCUCAGAGCAGCUGAUUGAAGAGGAUCCUUGUGGAGAAAACUCCUGCCUCUCUGGGACUCGACGCCCCACGUGACCUAGAACAGCCCACAGGCGUCAAGUCUCCCCGCGGCUCAGCCCCAGCUCCAAAGCCUUCUCCACUGUUCAUCCAACCUGCCCCUCCCCGGGCCCUGCAGCCAGAGGCCACGCAUCCAGGGUGGGAUGGGUGAUGCAGGGGACAGGGCCCAACUGUCCUCACCGUCUGCGCCUUCUGAGCAGAGUCCCCCAAGGAGGAUAUACAGCUGGCACUCAGCCAGACCUCUAGAGCCUG